UACGUAGGGGGCAAGCGUUGUCCGGAAUCAUUGGGCGUAAAGAGCGUGUAGGCGGCCCGAUAAGUCCGCCGUGAAAGUCCAGGGCUCAACCCUGGAAUGCCGGUGGAAACUGUCGGGCUGGAGUCCGGAAGAGGCGAGUGGAAUUCCUGGUGUAGCGGUGAAAUGCGCAGAUAUCAGGAGGAACACCAAUGGCGAAGGCAGCUCGCUGGGACGGUACUGACGCUGGAGACGCGAAAGCGUGGGGGAGCAAACAGG
rnacentral:rRNA from 1 species